rnacentral:rRNA from 1 species
GACAGAGGGUGCAAACGUUGUUCGGAAUUACUGGGCGUAAAGCGCGUGUAGGCGGCCUAGUAAGUCGGGCGUGAAAUCCCACGGCUCAACCGUGGAAGUGCACUCGAAACUGGAUGGCUAGAGUCCUGGAGAGGAAGGUGGAAUGCUUGGUGUAGAGGUGAAAUUCGUAGAUAUCAAGCGGAACACCGGUGGCGAAGGCGGCCUUCUGGACAGUGACUGACGCUGAGGCGCGAAGGCUAGGGGAGCGAACGGGG